rnacentral:tRNA from 1 species
GGAGGGUACAGCUCAGUGGCAGAGCGCAUGCUUAGCAUGCAUGACAUGAGGUCCUGGGUUCAAUCCCAGAACUUCCU